UACAUUUGUUUGUGGACUGUUUUCUUGAGGCCUGUUGUGACUUAUUUAACAUCUCUUCCAGUUUCACAGGUUAAAGACUUUUUGAAGUAAAGAGGAGCAUCUCAUCUGAACCUGAUGUCUAUCAUGGAUAUUUAACUGAAGUUCUGUGAGUAUCCCAACUUAACCAUGAAGCAUAUGUCUGCAAACUGUAAGUCAUUAAUUUCUCAUUACUCUUGGGCACAUUGAUGUAUUUUGGCUUCCUGGUGAGUUAACCUGUUACCUGAAGGUUGAUCUUAGUAGUAAGGAUGUUUUAUUGGUUCAUGGGUUACUUAGGUGUUUGGUUUAUGUUUGUAUUAAUGAUUUGUUAAAAUGGUUACAGGCUCCAAGUUAUUGUUGUAAGCUGGAGUAAUAGGUUGGGUUCUGAUAUCUUCAGUCUUCUUUCAUUCUACUCUCCUGAUCUCUGCAUCUUCAUCACAUGAGUGUUGCUUUACUAAUGAUACAGGGUGUGGUCUGAGUGAGCAGAGGUGCAUACUGGGAUACAGAGCUGUCUCGAGUCUACAGGUCUGUAGACACGCCCCCUCAGGGGAAACCGAGUGUUUGAGAAACUGUCGUGACGUCAGUUACAUGGACUGGAAUGUUCUUAAAGAUGGAGACAUGGAUUCAGAAGGAGAAACACCAGGGGGAGAUGAGGGGGCUCCUCAUCUCAACGACUAAAACACAACUUCAGUCUGACACAGAGAUCCAUGGAACACAUUCAACAGUUCCCUCCAGGCAUCGUGACUCCUCAGGAACAGUUUCAUUUCCAAGAAGGUCUUAUUUGGGGCCAUCCCCAUAUGGAUCCUGCUCCUCAAGAGCCACCCCCCUCCACUGUGUCGUCUUCUGAACAGAUGACCUCCUUCCUGUCCUCAGGCUGACUAAAGCUGCACCGUUUGCAUCUGUGAAGGCCCCUCGUUCAGGAAACCACUGGACUACAAAGACAUGACUUCAGAGAUGUUGAAUCAACCUUGGACACAUUUUGGAGACGCCAAGCAUAAUCCAUCACCAAUGUGGGUCGCCACUGAUGGAAUGUUAUUUGCUAUGAGGUUUUUACCCUGCAUGAUUGUUUGGCCUUUUAUGGCUCAGUGCUUUGUGUGUGUUUGGGUUUGACAUGAAAUGGAAGAUUUUUGAGCAUCGCUAGGGUUGUACUGUGUGUGUGUCUCCCACUCACACCUGGCAUGGGGUUCUACGUGCCUGUCCUGGGUUCUAUGUGUGUGUGUGUGUGUGUGUGUGUGUCCGGCUUGCUUUGAAAGUGAUAAUGUUCAUACGGGGGUCUGUGUGAUUGGCUUGGGCUAUUGGAAUGGUCAACUAAAUCCUACCUGAUGGACGGCCACACGUUUACGUAAGGGCCUCCAGUAGACAUGAAGAGCCCUGAGCGACGCUCCGGAGCGAGAUCCAACACACUGGGCAGGAAGGAGAGUAUCCAACUCGAGUGUAAAAGGAUGCAAGCGAGAAAAGGAUUCAGAUCAGUGACUUCAAACUAGGACUACACCAAUCAGGAUCAAUGGAGGAUGGACACCAAAAGGAAUUUCACAAGGAGAGUCUGACGUUGGAAAGGGACCUAAAUGGAUAUUCAAGAUGACCUUCAGACCUGUAAUGAGACGGCUCUUCCUACCUGGCUGGAUUGAUGGAGAGCCCUGUGGAUCUUGUCUUGCUCUCAGUUGCACGUCUUCUCAGGCUGAACUGUAUUUGUUUCGGACAGGACUAGCUGAACGAUUGGUUCCCUUAAAUCACAGCGUUCCCUUAAACCAACUCCUGCUAGUGGGCUCUUCGAGCUGAAGUUGUGCUCUUCAGCUGAGGAGGUAAGGAAACCUUCACUGGGGCUUGAGGUGUGAAGAGGAGACUGUUUCAAAGUGUUCCAUGGUACUCUGAUGAAGACCGUUGUUGUGUUCCACUGGCUGCGAGGAAGAACCCACACAUCUUCCUCUUGGCCUUUCUCCUCUGAGAAUCCUGGCGCCAUCUUGAAGGAUAUUCCAGCUCAUGUAACUGAUGUCACGACAGAUUCUCAAACACUUGGUUUCUCCUGAGGGGCGUGUCUAUGGAACUGAAGACUUCAGACAGCACUGUAUCCCAGCAUGCAUCUCUGCUCACUCAGACCAAAACCCCAUAAGUAGGAUGCAACACUCUAGGGAUGGAGAUGUAGAGUUUUAUAAGUAACAAGGGAGCAGACUAAGGUAAUUAGAACACAAUGGAAUGUCAAGUCUGUAAAUCUUUAAACCAUGAAGAUGGUUGGAUAGUUCAGGAUUUCGGCUUUUUAUUAUCGGCAGUCCUUUUAAUCAGAUGCCCACUUCUCACUGGAGCUGUACAUGUGUUGGCUGGCUGGCAUGAUUUGCUGUUGGUGAUGAGGCGGUCAGGGUGACGUUGCAGGGCUAUGGUCGGCUCUCUGUGAGGUCCACCUUUAGAUUUGCUCUGUAUGGUUUGUACCCUGAAUAAUCUAGAAAAUUGUCAAAUGUAGACAGUUUUGUAUUGAAUAAUUCCAGGAUUUGAGGUUUAAAGUUGUUGUGGGACGUACAUGGUAGUUUGGUUCUUCGUAUGGUUUUGAGUGAUAUAACUUGUACACACUGGGUGCAUAAUAAUGUAAAGGUACACUGAAUAGUAUUAAUGACCAACAGCAACAAACAGAUCUCCUCAAGGUAAGUCUGUUGGCUGUGUUUUGAUGAAGACCAUCGCUAGACUUCAGGAUCUUCCUCCGUUCAGCUCAAGGUGAGGCGCUGGUUCUCUUUUUCUUUGGUUGGUUCCGGCCGGAAUGUUCGGAUUCCAGUCGGACGGUUUGUGCUUCCCGCCGUGGAAGGUUCUGAGUGCGGUCACUUGAUUUAGUCCCAAUGGUUAGCAUAGAACGUUGUAGUCUUGACAACCAUAAGAAACCACCUGGCAGUUAGUUGGACGGGAGUCCCCUGAGGGAAUCUGGCGGAACGUUCUGGAUUGUAUUUGCGUAACCUCGAGCCGUUGCCAACGGGAAAAAAAAAUUCAGUCGGUUUCCAUUGGGAAUUGUUGCCCCUAUCUUAAAUAACUAAAGUUUGAUAUUAAAUACAUACUAGCACGUACGUCGUACAAUAUGUUUAAUUUCCGAUGGUUGCGCCGUACUUUUAACCACAAUGACGUUGCGGGACUCUCACUGCGUACAAAACAGCGUUCUACUUGCGGGCCCAUCAGGGAAGGCUUAAAAUCAUUUCAAGGUGGAAGAUAAUUUGAAAUUUCUUCAACGGAACCCAGCACCUGAAUAUGGCUGAGUAUAUUUGAUUUAAUAUCGAUACUGCUUAGUGUUCUUUGUUACUUCAGCUUUUGUACGUUCUAAAUAUCUGUCAUUAAUUACCACAGAAGUUAAACCCUACCCAAUGGAUUGACGUUAACCAUUGACUUUGGUGCAGAGUUAACAACUGGAUAAUAUAAAAGCUAAAAUAAUGGCCGUCAUUCCCACAUGUUACAGUAGAAGAUACUCUACAACUGUACAAGGUUAAAAAGGUAACAUGUAGUUUGUCCCAAGGUGUCUGCCUCCUCACCCAGAGCAAGACCUCCACCUCCUCACCCAGAGCCAGACCUCCACCUCCUCACCCAGAGCCAGACCUCCACCUCCUGUCAGAAGUCCUCCAGAACAGCUGAAAGGCGAGGCUGAGAGGCUGGGGACCGGAGGCUUGUGGUGCCAGGGUGGACCGGGACUGAGGCUGGAGACCAGGGGCCUGCAGCACCGGACCAGAGGCUGUGAGUAAGUGAAGGAGCUGAUGGAGGAGUCGUGCUGAAGGAGCUGAUAGAGGAGCCGUGCUGAAGGCCCAGGGCUGGUGGAGGAGCUUGUGGAGGGCCUGCCUGGUGAAUGACGUCUGUCGUGGGGUAGAUGGAGCUUGACUCUGAAUUUGUUCCAGUCCAGGACUCUGUCUGAGGAGAGCUGCUGGAGGAGCUGAGACGCUGGAGGACGACUAGGAAUCGACCAACAAGGAUUCCUCAUAAAACGUGUUUCUGGAGCGGAGGCGAGCUGGUAGGGGAGCCGUGAAUCUGGAGGAUGACCAUCACUCUACCAACAAGGAUUACUUUAGGGCCAGACUCGCGCGCUGUUUGUUCCAGACCAGGACUCUGAUGGAGGAGAGCUGACGGAGGAGCCAAGACUCUGGAGGACGACAACACUCCACCAACCAGGAUCCUUAGACAAAUUACGUUUGUAACCAGACCAGGAAUCUGGAGGACUGAUGGAGAAGCCGUACAUCUGGAAGGCAAAUCCUGAGGACCACCAGGACUCUACCAUCAAGGAUUCCUCAUAAGUUUGCAUUAUCUGGACAUAGUGGACUAGACACACCUGAGCUGAACCUCACCUGAUCCUGACAUCCUGCUGGUCCCGUCUCCUCAGUUCAUCUGAGCCUCGUCCUCCAGAAGACCUGCUGAACUCGGCAGUCUGAGGCUGAUGGAUCAAUGACCUCCAGUGGGAGUGAUCUUCUUGACCCCACAUACCAGGACUCUGUCUGAGGAGAGCUGCUGGAGGAGCUGAGACGCUGGAGGACGACUAGGAAUCGACCAACAAGGAUUCCUCAUAAAACGUGUUUCUGGAGCGGAGGCGAGCUGGUAGGGGAGCUGUGAAUCUGGAGGAUGACCAUCACUCUACCAACAAGGAUUACUUUAGGGCCAGACUCGCGCGCUGUUUGUUCCAGACCAGGACUCUGAUGGAGGAGAGCUGACGGAGGAGCCAAGACUCUGGAGGACGACAACACUCCACCAACCAGGAUCCUUACCAGGAAUCUGGAGGACUGAUGGAGAAGCCGUACAUCUGGAAGGCAAAUCCUGAGGACCACCAGGACUCUACCAUCAAGGAUUCCUCAUAAGUUUGCAUUAUCUGGACAUAGUGGACUAGACACACCUGAGCUGAACCUCACCUGAUCCUGACAUCCUGCUGGUCCCGUCUCCUCAGUUCAUCUGAGCCUCGUCCUCCAGAAGACCUGCUGAACUCGGCAGUCUGAGGCUGAUGGAUCAAUGACCUCCAGUGGGAGUGAUCUUCUUGACCCCACAUGUAACCGUGUGCUUCCACACGCCUUCCUUCACGUCUGUCACUAACCUCACUACUUCACUACUCUCUACUGCUUCCUCUUUUCUUCCUUCUCUGUGGUCCAAACCUUUACACUAAAGGUGCGUCUUCCUGCCCUCAGAGGGUUUAGCGUUAGGGUUGAGAGUCAGGGUUUAGAGUCAGGGACAGAGCUGGUCAGGGAGGACUGCUUUUACACAAACCUCUUCACUUGCUUUCGGAAUGGUGAUGACAUUUUGAAAAGAUUCAUUUGGGAAAAUGUUUUCCUCUGCUUUCCUUUACAAAAUUGUAUUAAACUUCUGUCAAGUGUUUUUGUUUAUAUAUUAAAAUCCCACAUUGACUUCGACAUGUUUGGUGCGGUU